rnacentral:rRNA from 1 species
AUUGAACGCUGGCGGAAUGCUUUACACAUGCAAGUCGAACGGCAGCACGGGGGCAGCCCUGGUGGCGAGUGGCGAACGGGUGAGUAAUACAUCGGAACGUGCCCGGUCGAGGGGGCUAACGUAGCGAAAGUUACGCUAAUACCGCAUACGAUCUGAGGAUGAAAGCGGGGGACCUUCGGGCCUCGCGCGAUCGGAGCGGCCGAUGUCAGAUUAGGUAGUUGGUGGGGUAAAGGCCUACCAAGCCGACGAUCUGUAGCUGGUCUGAGAGGACGACCAGCCACACUGGGACUGAGACACGGCCCAGACUCCUACGGGAGGCAGCAGUGGGGAAUUUUGGACAAUGGGCGCAAGCCUGAUCCAGCCAUUCCGCGUGCAGGACGAAGGCCUUCGGGUUGUAAACUGCUUUUGUACGGAACGAAAAGGCUCUGGCUAAUACCUGGGGCUCAUGACGGUACCGUAAGAAUAAGCACCGGCUAACUACGUG